CCCCACACACACCCAUUCUCAGAAAUGCAGUAGCGAAAAUGCUGUCCGUGACCCAAAAGACAAAAACUGUUACAUGAUCACUUUCUAUGGAAUUCUCCAUUUCAGAUUUGUACCUAGGUACUUCUACCUAAAAUACACAAGACUGCUGCCAGGGAGGCUGCUGAAUUUGGCAGCCAAGGAACAGAAAUUGAAACAUGACCAAAUAUAAUGGCUUUAGCCAUUUUACUGUUGAAUUGACAGAGUUCUGCUCAUUUCACAUGGGAUGUCAGUUCACCUCAGGACUCAGAGGGAAAAAGGUGUAUAUUCAAGGACCAGGAUCUCAAAUGCAAGACUAAGUCGUAGUUUACCAGCAAAUAGUAUUCCCUUCACUCCUAUAUACCUCAAAGACCUGGAUGACCCAAAGAAGGCAAAUCAAUGAAGUGCCAGGAUUGGUAUCUUCACAAGACCCUCCAAAUCCAGUAACAAUGGUGUGGUCCAACAGCAGCAUCUUCUCCCAAGCUCCUCUGGACAGGACAUGUCAUGUGUAUGCCCAACAGCAGAAUCACAAAACAAACAACCUAUUCAGAACUCAUGCACAGCAACAGGAUAUUGGAAACAAACAAGUGAUGCCCUCACAGCAUCCUGAAGAUGUCAAACAUACUUGACUCAUAGGAGGCCCUGACUUGUCACCCAGGGAAGACUGAUUUGGAAAGGCAAUAAACACAGUAAGCUCAUCAGAAUGUGCUGAAGGGAAGGCACGGCAAUGGAAGAGAGAUACAAACCUAUGAACAAUUCAUCCUUUCAAGUAUGACCUGCACCACUGAGGCAGAAUCUACAGACAACACUUUGGACUACUCAGCUAUUUCAGAACAUCAAAUCAGUGAAAAUAAGUCAACCCCAGUCCUGAGAGUCUGCCUGAGACACAGUUACAAGAUAAGUAAUAGUGUUGUUGACUAACUGCAGCAAUUAAUCUCUAUCAAUCUAGAGCAGGCCUAGACAUGGUGCAAAGGCGGCCACAGUGAUAGACAACGUACAGAGUCAUAGAGACACACAGCACGGAUGCAGAUCCUCCAGUCCAAUGUGUCUGCGCCACCAGACAUUCCAAUCUAACUUAGUCCUGCCAUUUGUCCCAAAUCCAUCAAAUUUUUCAAUCAUAUACCCAUCCAGAUGCCUUUUAAACGCUCAUUCCAUUCACACACUACCACUUGUGAAAUAGUUACCCCUCAGGUCCUUUUCAAAUCUUUCCCUUCUCACCGUAAACUCCCUCUACCUUGGGUAAAUGACUUUGGCUAUUCACCUUUUCUAUAACCCUGGUGAUUUUACAAACCUCUAUAAGGUCAUCACUCAGCCUCCAACAUGCCAGGGGAAAAAGCCCCAGUCUAUUCAGCCCCUUCAAGGGCUUUUAGCUCAAAGUCACUUGCUCCAACUGGGUAUGCUACAUUUUCUGUAUACCAGAUAUCAAAUUACUUGCAUAAAUAGUUUCCCAAAAUGUUUUCUGAUGAAUACAAAUGCAAGUUUUCUCAAACAAUAAGAACUGCUUCCAACCUUAAGCAGCACUGACUCUUGAAAUCAAUGUACACAAACUAAUGACAUCAUUAAUUGUGAUGACAGUCCACCUAUGGCAUGUUAAUGAUUUUGAAGCAGCUAGAGGUGAAAACAGCAAUAAAUUCAAAAUUAAGAAUGCUUGUGCAUUAGCACUUCAUUAGUUGAGUUCUCUUUCAUGUCAGCUUUGUGAUAAAAUAGUUUCUCCUCGGACCGGUUUACGGAACUAUCUGAAUGCUGAACCACAGCAUGUUGUCAAUUAUCAUGACUGACAAAACUAACUGCUUCCACCAUUUCUUUAGGCAGCUGUUCCAUGUAUUGACCACUCACUCAAACAUUGUUUUUCCUCAAAUUAGUUUUGUAUUCAUCUCCCCUUCACGCGGCACAGUGGCUUAAGUGGUUAGCACUGCUGCGUCACAGCGCCAAGAACCAGAGUUCGAUUCCAGCCUCGGUGACUUUCUGUAUGGAGUGUGCACAUUCUCCCGUGUCUGCAUGGGUUUCCUCCCACAGUCCAAAGAUGUGCAGGGUAGGUGGGCUGGCCGUGCUAAAUUGCCCAUAGUUCCCAGGGAUACUUAGGUUAGGCGGAUUAGACAUGGGAAACGCAGGGGUAGGGGAAUGGGUCUGGGUUGGAUGCACUUCAGAGCAGCAGUGUAGCCUUGUUGGGCCAAAUGGUCUGUUUCCACACUGUAGAGAUUGUAUGAUUCAAAUACACAGCCUCCUACUGUUCUAUUGCUCUAGUCAAGCUAAAAAAUAGUGCAACAUGGUCCACAUUAUCUAUUCAAUUGAGAAUCACCACAACAACAACCAUUAUUUUAUCUCUCCACAUUUGACUUGGCAGCAAAAUAUACACCCAAUUUAUGUAAAUGCUCCUCAUAAUCCAAUCCCACCUUCCCCUCAACUACUUCGGACUAUUGCCAGUAUCUUUGCAACAGCAAUAGUAUUGUUUUGGUUCUGCACCUACCAGCAAAUUCAAAGUACAAAUCACACUAACGAUUUAUAAAGGGAUCAGAUUAGCUCACUGUUUUGGCACAAAACUGAUUUUCUAAUACUUUCCAACAUUCAAUUUGUUUAUUCACAGCAAUAGAAAAUGGAGUGCUGCAAUUUAUUGCCAACCAGGUCACCUCAAUUUUUAAAAUUUCUAUGCACAUUACUUUCUUUUGAUUUAUGCAAUCAUCCUUCCUUAGUUUGUUAUUGCUGUUAUGUGUAGCAUUUUGUAUUUCUUUACAUUCAAUUUCAUUGGCGACCUUACUCCAUUGUGAAAAUGUAAAAACAUGAAUCUUAGUAUGAAAUUUAGAUCAUUCAAGGUAUUGAACUAGAGAGGUCCCAAAUCAGACCUUAGGAGAACCAGUUAUAAUCCUCCACAAAUAAUAUCCUCAGAGUUCUUAUGGUCAUUAGCAUGUAUACCCAUUGAAAAAUAUUUCCAGCGAUAUUAUUUUUGGCAGCAGCAGCAGCAGCAGCAAUCAGAGGUCCUGAAUUAAAUGCCUUGGUGAAACAAACACAGCAUAUCCACUGCUUUGCAAAACUUUCUAAGAAAACCACAAAUUUAGAUUGGCCGAGACCUUCUCUUGUGAACGCAUAUGGACUAUCUAAUGAUUUUAUUUCUAUCCAGGAAGAACUUCCCGAGGAGAAAAAGCAGAUGCAAUGUCUCUAGCCCAAUCCAAAGAUCAGGUAGUGUUUUGGUACUGGAACUUUUCUGACAACUGAGCAGACCCUCACAACAGCAAUGAAGUAUCAGCACUGAUUAACAUUCAAAGGGUUGGGGUGGGACAAGAGAAAGAGAAAGUAGUUUUGAUGUUUUAAGGAACACUCUUGCAACAGGGUAGUCUAUUAUUCCCUUCAACUGAUUAAGAGUUUCAGGACACGAUUCCAAACCUCCCACUUGAAUUUCUGACAAUAAAAACAAAAUUCUUCAGAUACCAGAGAUAGAAAAAAAAAUUCAAUAUUUUCCAGCAACAUUGAGAACUCGUGCACUUGAACAAAUGUUUGGACUGUAAAUUUGAUCAUGUAUACAUAUGGGGCAAAGAGUCAUUCCUCAUUGCUCAUCUGCAGCUGGUUUUGCAAAU